rnacentral:rRNA from 1 species
GACGAACGCUGGCGGCGUGCUUAACACAUGCAAGUCGAACGGAAAGGCCCUGCUUUUGUGGGGUGCUCGAGUGGCGAACGGGUGAGUAACACGUGAGUAACCUGCCCUUGACUUUGGGAUAACUUCAGGAAACUGGGGCUAAUACCGGAUAGGAGCCCCUGUUGCAUGGUGGGGGUUGGAAAGUUUCUGCGGUUGGGGAUGGACUCGCGGCUUAUCAGCUUGUUGGUGGGGUAGUGGCUUACCAAGGCUUUGACGGGUAGCCGGCCUGAGAGGGUGACCGGCCACAUUGGGACUGAGGUACGGCCCAGACUCCUACGGGAGGCAGCAGUGGGGAAUAUUGCACAAUGGGCGGAAGCCUGAUGCAGCGACGCCGCGUGCGGGAUGACGGCCUUCGGGUUGUAAACCGCUUUCGCCUGUGACGAAGCGUGAGUGACGGUAAUGGGUAAAGAAGCACCGGCUAACUACGUG